CAGGUGUGACCGGCUCCACGGCGGACUGCGCCUGCGUGUUUUUGGGAGAACCCACUGAUCAUUUGUGCUGUUAAGUUUUUUGAUAAGCCUUUAUGGCAGCGGCAGCCUGGAUCUGAUUGGGCAGCUGUAGAAAAGGGAAGUAAAACAUGUUGCGUUACUUUCAUGCGCGACACAGCACUCAGAAAACGUAAGAAGACAAUGCGAGGCGAGACAAUGUGAGAAAUUUAAGUCCAAGUUUAGCUUUUUCAACUACUAGAGUAGCGAGGGAAUGAACAAGAUGUAAAAGGUUUCACUUUAGAAGUGGACAGACUGGACUGACUUAUUUUAAGGGACUACACUUCCUGGUCUGUCGGACUCGAGACAGAGAGAAAUAAAAACCGUGUGGGUUUCAGAAAGACCAAUCAUACAAGCUGGCAGAAAUGGACCACGCACGAGCGCCAGAUACUCAAGAAAACAAGAGCUACAGGGAACACAGCGAUGACUCUGUCAAGAGGUCCACUGACAGCACUGUGUCUACCAACGAGGAGGAGAAGAGGCCGUUCAGGAGGGUGCCAAGUCCGUCCAUACCGAGGGCAUGGAUGUCCAGUUCUUACAAACCUAAGUUUGGAGGGCGAUUCUACAAGCCUCGGGAUGACCAUCCCUUCUACUCGAAGCACCGCUACCAUAACCCCCGGUCCCACGACUACCGAAGGGAUCCCAUCCAUCCUAAGCUUCACCACAUCGCAGUGAAAGAGCGAGAGCGAGAGCGAGAGCGAGAGAGGGAAAAGGAGCGACACGAGCAGAGAGACAGGAGCGAGGGAAAUUCACCCCCAAAACAGAGCAGCGGUAAUGUUACAGGUUCUAGACCUUUCUUACCAAAGUUCAUCUCCAGCAGAGACAAGGACAUGCAGUUCACCUCAGAAAGCACUGACAGGGGCCUAUUUCCUAAAGCCGUUUAUCAGAGCGACUGGAGCCAAGGCAGGGACAGAGAUCACAGGGGGACCAGUAGCAGAGACAGGGAGCUACCGUCGGUUGUGAGCCAGACAGUGGCUCGAGACAGAGCCAUCCAAAAGAAGAGGAGGGAAAUAGAUGAGGUGUACUAUCAGGAAUGUGAAAUCUUUGGCCUUGUGGUAAAGAUGCUGAUUGCAAAGGAUCCAUCCCUGGAGCGGCCUAUCCAGUCCUCGCUGCAGGAAAACCUCAGGGACAUUGGCCAGCGUUGCGUGGAGGCCAUGGAGAAAUUUAUCGAGGACUACGACUCGAGGGAGCUGUCGCACUAAUCAGACACAAAGCCCGGCCCGUCUCCCUAACGUUUUGUCUUCCACUCAAAGUGUUGAGAGUGUCACUUAAUUUGAUUGAACGCUGCUUUUGUGUUUACGUGUUUGUAAUUAUCUUAUAUAUUCUUCUCUGCUGCCUGUCAGCGCUGAGUCUCAAGUGAGCAGCUCUUGUGAAAGAAUGAAAAGUGACUUGAACUUGUGGGUGAAAUCCAUUGACUGUUUGUACUAUGGAUAAAACGAUUGUGACGUCACCCAUUGGAUUCUGAACCUUGAAAACGAAGCCUGAAGUGGGCGGAGUCCGCAGUCUCCAUGUUGGAUGAGCUUUACCCCGCCCACACGUGGAUACUCCAUAUAAGGAUGUGGGGAGUCGUGUCGGACGUUGAGACCGGACCACCCAACCCUCUACUACCUGUUAGCUCAGGCUACCACCAGCCUUAGUUAUGCAGAAUUUUAAACCUUAAUAAAAAAUAAACGAAUGAGUC